CUCUGGAUGUGGAAUAAUAAUCCUUGGCACAGGCUCCCUGAUGCAAGCCCUUGGGUCUCUCCAAGACCCUUCAACCAGCAAGCUGCCCAUCCUCUCGCCACACUUCAUGCUACUGCAGGGAUGCACACACACCGGAUGAACUUCCCACAUCCACAGCCUGCUCCUGUUCAGCACCUGCCCCUUGGCUGGCCGAUGGCAAAGCAGCAAGAGAAGCUGGAAAGGUCAAGCGGAAACCACCGAGCAGAGAGGCACCGAGUAAAGCAAGCAGUGAGCUCACCGGCCCUGGAAACCCUGGGUCAAACAGGUAUCUGUAGAUAUUGAUGAGAUCCUCCUGGGGCCCCUUCCUCCUCGUGUUCCAGCCUUUCCUCAGAGGAGGGGUGUUCCAGACCCUUCAUCAUCUUCAUGGCCCUAAGUUGGUCUGUCUCCAAUGACUCCAUGUCUCCAUGGUACUGGAGCGUCCCCCACUUUUGUGUCAUCUGCAGAUUUACUAAAGGCUGAACAAGCCCAGUUCCCUCAACCUUUCCUCAUAGGAGAGGUGUUCCAGCCCUCUCAUCAUCUAUAAUUUGCAGUUUUCCAGCUUCCACACAAUGGCCAUGAGGAGCUGCGGGAGGAAGCAUGCAAUCUUCGCACUGUUGGUCCUGGAAACCAUUCACAAAAGGACAAAUUGGAAGCACUCAGUUCCACCUUUGUCCUGACAGCUUCUCACUUCUGCUCCAGGUGAAAGCAUUACUCCUGGUGCCUCCGGCAGUCAGUGCUGAAGCAUCCUGCUCGUGAGGCUCCUCCCUCCUGUCACAUUCCCACACGUUUCAGAUCCCCUCCUGCUUUCCGUCCGACGCCGUGAGCUACCACCGCCCGUGGGCACCACAACACUCAGCAGCCACAGCAAAGCCAACUCAGCAAGCAAGCACCACGGGACCCCAGGGCACACCCCGACAGCCGGAGGGGUGCAGGGGACGGGGUGACCAAGAGAGAGGCUUUGCCUCAGGGCACGCUCCGGCGGCACUGCAGCGUCUCCCGAGGCUGUGCUCCCCGGGCUCGGCGCUGCCCUGUCCGGUGGAGAAAGUCCCAACCCCGCAGCACCA
ensembl:lncRNA